AUGGCCGUAGCCGGCCAAGCUCGAAGCUCCCGCCGCUGCACCUCGUCGCGUCUCUGCUACCUCCUCGCCGCCGCCCGUGGUCCUCCUGCAUCUCAAGCCCGACGCCCGACCUGCGACCUCCGCCACAUCGACGUCCCUUGGCGCCCUGCCGGCCGAUCUGGCCCCGUCAUCCAGGAUCUCCAUGGCGCUACCUUGCUGCUUCCUCCAGCGCCCAAGUCCACCUUGUUGCUUCCACCGCCCUCACGCCCCUGCUUCUUCCAUGGUGUUGUUGCCGUCCAUGGUAGCUCUGCCGCUGUCGCCUUACCACCGCCGUCCAGCUCAACACAUGUAGGAGAUGGCUAG
rnacentral:rRNA from 1 species